rnacentral:rRNA from 1 species
GUGUUACAAUGGCAGGUACAGAGGGGUGCUACCGGGUGACCGGAUGCCGAUCUCGAAAACCUGUCCCAGUUCGGACUGGAGUCUGCAACCCGACUCCACGAAGUUGGAUUCGCUAGUAAUCGCGCAUCAGCCAUGGCGCGGUGAAUACGUUCCCGGGCCUUGUACACACCGCCCGUCAAGCCAUGGGAGCCGGGGGCGCCUGAAGUCCGGGACCGCGAGGACCGGCCUAGGGCGAAACUGGUGACUGGGGCUAAGUCGUAACAAGGUAAC